ACCGAUAGCCUUAGUAGCGGCGAGUGAGCGGCAAAAGCUCAAAUUUGAAAUCUGGCACCUUCGGUGUCCGAGUUGUAAUUUGAAGAUUGUAACCUUGGGGUUGGCUCUUGUCUAUGUUUCUUGGAACAGGACGUCACAGAGGGUGAGAAUCCCGUGCGAUGAGAUGCCCAAUCCUAUGUAAGGUGCUUUCGAAGAGUCGAGUUGUUUGGGAAUGCAGCUCUAAGUGGGUGGUAAAUUCCAUCUAAAGCUAAAUAUUGGCGAGAGACCGAUAGCGAACAAGUACAGUGAUGGAAAGAUGAAAAGAACUUUGAAAAGAGAGUGAAAAAGUACGUGAAAUUGUUGAAAGGGAAGGGUUUGAGAUCAGACUCGAUAUUUUGUGAGCCUUGCCUUCGUGGCGGGGUGACCCGCAGCUUAUCGGGCCAGCAUCGGUUUGGGCGGUAGGAUAAUGGCGUAGGAAUGUGACUUUGCUUCGGUGAAGUGUUAUAGCCUGCGUUGAUGCUGCCUGCCUAGACCGAGGACUGCGAUUUUAUCAAGGAUGCUGGCAUAAUGAUCCCAAACCGCCCGUCUUGAA
rnacentral:rRNA from 1 species